GGAGCAUGGCUGAAUUUCUCCCGUGUGUAACACAUGGAGUUCAAAGCUUCACACACCUGGAAACAGCAGCAGGGUUAUGUCACUGCUGCAGGUUUGUGAUGAAGUGGAGCGAAAACAUCCAGCUUUGGGAAAGAAGUGACAAAGAUUUGACUGCGUCUGCAAAAAGUGCUUCACCUGCCUCCAGAGAAAUCUCUGCCAUACCAGCUGUACCUGGAGGCCAGAGAGGAGGCUCUCGUUGAAGAGUUACCAGGAGUUAACAGGUAUUGACUCUUUAUAUUUCUCCCAUACGUCUAUAAGGAGAACAUGAACCUUUUUAUCCCUCUUGGAGACUCUGAUGCAGACAUGUGGUGUUUAACUGAACCAAACACACACAACAAAGUUAGCAAGUUAACUUUUCUUAUUGAUUGUAUGACUGA